rnacentral:rRNA from 1 species
UACAGAGGGGGCAAGCGUUAUUCGGAAUUACUGGGCGUAAAGGGCGCGUAGGCGGCCUUGUAAGUCCCGUGUGAAAUCCCUCGGCUCAACUGAGGAACUGCACGGGAAACUGCUUGGCUUGAGUUCGGGAGAGGGAAGCGGAAUUCCGGGUGUAGCGGUGAAAUGCGUAGAUAUCCGGAGGAACACCGGUGGCGAAGGCGGCUUCCUGGACCGACACUGACGCUGAGGCGCGAAAGCUAGGGGAGCAAACGGG